rnacentral:lncRNA from 1 species
CACAAUUUUGUAAUAAUAGUCAAAACCCACAAUAUUUAUUUAUUUUCUAAAUAGAAGUAGAUGUGGUCUAGCUCCAGUUACGUUUUCUCCCCAAAUCUAAAUCCUUUUCACUUUUCCUUUAGCUCCAAUCAAGUUUUUCCCCAAUUACUCUAAUCCAUUAUCCCCAUUUCCCCUUUUUCAUUUCAAUCUAGCUACGGUCGCAUUUUCCCCAAAUCUUAAUCCUUUUCACUUUCCCUUAUCUCCAAUUACGUUUUCGAUUUUUUCCAAAUCACACUAAUUUCUCAGAUCCAUUUUCCCCUUUUAAUUUCACACAUUGAAAUCCCUUAAAUCCAGUCGUCCGGUGAGAGAUCUUCAGAUGAUCUUUGUCCGUUUUGCUAACAUUCAGGCUAUCUGCUCAGCAUCGUCUUAUUCAACCCAUGAACUCGGCAGUCGGUGAUUUCUAUAGCAAAAAAUCUUCGACGCAAAAUGCACUUCGUCAGAAACUGAUUUUAGCUGUAAGUUUUUCUUUUUCAAUUUGGGUAUUUUUUUUAUUUAAUCGUUCCUUUUUUCUAUAAUAAUUAGGGUGUGGUGGUGUAUUUAAUAUCUUGCUUUCUGUUAAUUUUUAGAACCCCUAUUGUGAGGGUUUUAUUUUCAUCAGGGUGUGGCUAGUGUGAGUCUAAACUUUUAGAACUAAUGUUCGUAUAGAUAAUCUGCCAAAGAUGAUUUUUCAAAGAGGUCAGUCUUUCAGUUAUGUUUGCUUUUGACAUCUUGAAUUUAUUAACACUUUGAUCUUAGUCUGUUUUUCUGUAUUGCAUUUCCUCUAUAUUUGGAUUUUUCCAGAAGUUGACUCUAAACAUUAGUGUAUGAAUUUUAUGUUAAGGUCUUUGCAUUGAAUUAGUGCUUCAUGCUAGGUGUAGCUGCAAUAAAACCUGUCAAAUUAUGUCUAUUUACUAACAACCAAGAAUUAUUGCUUCAUGCUUGGUUUCUCUUAAUUAGCAGCAAAGUUUGGAGCUUAGCGCUCAAGUCGUGUGAUAAUUUUUCAUGAAGUGAUCAUUCAGUAAGUUUCUAAAGGAAAAGCAUGACCAGGAAAAUGAUUAGAAAAUUACUUUUAAUGUCAAUUGUAGUCAAGAUUACUGUCCCUAUACAUCUAAAAAAAUUAUUCUUUUUGUUAUGAAAUAAUAUAAAAGACAAGAACAAUAACUCAAGAACAAGAGCAAAUAG